rnacentral:rRNA from 1 species
UGCCUCAUGGUAUUGUAGACUGGCAUCAGUUUAUAAUUAAAGAUUUAUCGGUAAAAGAUGGCUAUGCGUCCUAUUAGUUAGUUGGUAAGGUAACGGCUUACCAAGACAGCGAUAGGUAGGGUCCUGAGAGGGAGAUCCCCCACACUGGUACUGAGACACGGACCAGACUCCUACGGGAGGCAGCAGUGAGGAAUAUUGGACAAUGGAGGAGACUCUGAUCCAGCCAUGCCGCGUGUAGGAAGAAUGCCCUAUGGGUUGUAAACUACUUUUAUACAGGAAGAAAC